AAUUAGCUAGCUAAGUAUGCUAACGUUAGCUUAUCACGCCGGUUGCCCGAGCUAACGGAAAUGUCAGUUGGGUUUCUCGGGAGUUCGCUCUGCGCUGCAUAUUCACUUCACGUGUGUGAUUGGACGUGACUGUCAUUUAAAAAUGGUGCACUACAGACGCGGUGUGGCUAUUUUUUGCGGGGAAAGCCCCGUCAACGGCAAGCUACCGGGCUUCCCACACCGGUUACCGGCUUUGUUCAUUCACAGCAGUUGGCUAGCGGGGCGCAUUAGCCUGUCGUAGUCUGCUGUGCCGGCCAGCUAAUUUAACGGUCGCUUCGAUGGCAAGUGCACAAGUCCGUGAACGCAACGCCUGCGCGGCUUUACCCGUUUCAGGGCGAUGACCCCGUGGGGGUAUGUUGGCCCGUGACACGCCAGGUUUUGAGGCAAUUGGAAACCUACUUUUUCCCAUUUCACACGACUUAUGCUUUUUAAAGAGGUGUCGCUUUGCACCUCGAUAGGCCUGUUAUUAAUUGCCGGUGAGCUGUCAUGAAGCCAGAGUAUUUCAAUAAGCAGCCACACAUUAGCUUGCCACUUGCCCGGGUUUGGUUAAUCACCAUCAGCUGGGGGAACCGGUGUUCUCCCGGACACCUGUCUCCAAAUACCACCAUGCACUACGUGUGUAAUAUGGUUAAUCUCGUGUGUUUGAACUGUCACUGCCCCCAAAACCCACUUUAACCCGGCGAUGCAUCGGUGUUACUCUACCCGACUGUGGGUGAAGUCUCCGUGGUUACGUCACCGCCUGUUUUAUUUACAGCAUGGUGGCCGUUGUGUCAGGUGGAGGGAUUAGGUUGACGUCUCCUGCCCGCAAGUGGGAGUUUUCUUUUUGUGAUCUGACAGCUCCUGUUGUUGUUGUUGUUUUUCUUUUUGGGGCGUUACGUCUCAACCUGAUUCCCCGCCACCCACGAUCACAGCAUCCCGGUGUUUGUGACAUCUGUGAAGGACCGUGAGGAGCCGCUCGUGGCCGGUGGCCAAGAGAAGUUUUGCUCGCAGUGUGUCGCGUUCAUCCGUUUGUCUGUGAGUUGGAUGAGCAAUGCAAACGCAACGCAGAAUAUCUCUUUAUUUGUUGUGCCAUGUUCUCAAUUGACUCUGCAGGCUUUUGAAAUGUACUAAACCAACUUUUAGAUGUGAAGUGCCUACUAGUUGAGUACAGAAGUGCACACUCUCCAUUUACUCCAUUGCUGUCCUCUUUUUAAGGGCUAGGAAAACAUAACCAUUACUAAUAAUGGUAAAUGUGUCUCUUUUUAAUGAUCAGAGCUUUUAAUGGUUUUGUUUUGCCUUUUUUCUAUUUCGCUCACUCUUGCUUAGUUUCCACAUCGAUGGACGUUUUCAGUGUGAUAUGCUCAGCAUUAUGGAGUUUGUGCUGUUUAUUGACGUAGGAGUAACUGUGUCCCUGUUUUCAGGUGCACGGGUAAAUCAGUGGCAGACUGCCGUGCACGACAAUUAACACGUUACUUCCACUCUCGUUUCUGCAGCGUGUCAAAACGAAACUUCUCAAGUCAUCAGCUAACCCGGCUUUUUAACUGCAGUUGCACAGAAUGCAUUCAAGGGUUGGUGAUAAUAUCAUGAACAGAAUCAAAUUCAAUCGAAAAUAAUCCUAUACUCUUUUAGGUGCUUUUAUAACAUUACAAUCCCACCUCUAGCCACAUGGGAUUUGGAGGCAAAUAAACUUAUUGACUGACACUGUUCCAGUUCAUUGGGUUCAUCCAGCUGAAUUGAAUCCAAUGAGUCAGUUGUGCAAUAAGCCUUUCUACUUUUACGAAGUUAAUCAUUUUAGUUUUUUGUAAAAGCAUUGUUUCAACUGACUGGUUGAUUUGUACGUUGUCAUACUUUUGAAUUUAAUUUAAUGAUUUUAACUACAAUACCAUAUAAUUGUUUUUCUAGCAUUUGGAAACCGUCUGUACAUUACGUGGCAGUAAAAAGAAAAUCUGAAUUGUUCCUUCUGACGUCAAAUGAUGAAUUUGCAGGAAAGUCAAAUUGGCCUGCUUCGUCCCGUGAGCUCCUUGUAGUUCCCUGUGAUGGUCUCAGGACCCCCGGUUACUCCGCAAGACAUUUGAUUUCCAUGUCUGUAUGACAGCAGACCCUUGUUGAGUGUCGCCAAUCAUCUGACCUCUUUGUAGCCCUCCGAGGUCAGGACACUCACGCUAUGCUCCUGGUGUAUGCCGAAUGUUGGCAUGUGUGUUUGUGGAGUCUUGAGGUGCACAGGGAUCCAAAGAAGCAGGGGGCGAGGCGUGUAUGAGAACGGGGGGGGGCAGUUUGUUUCUUUCCCCAGUUGCCAGAGAAACACCCAGCACAUGCGUCUGCUGCUGCACUUGUCAGACAAUGGCGCUGCUGCUUAGCAUUCAGAGCGAGAGGCCAAGGUGGCGCUUCCCACCAUCUGCCAACAAAGGCCCAGGUCACCCAGGCUGCCUCAACCCCCCCCCCUCUCACACCUCCCCUCCUCCCCCUCUCACGUCGUCCUUCCCUCCCCCCACAGCUCACCUCGCCUUGCUGCUGGUCCAGCUGAGAAAACCCAGGCUUUCUCCCCAUUUACCCCCUUCCCUCCCACUCCUCCGCUUUCAUGGUCAGUGUUUGUUUGGACAAAAGGAAGAGAGCAGUUGACUGUGAAGUAUGAACGUAAGCGGUGAGCCAGACGUGCAGGUGCUGCCGGCGUGAGCUGCGUAGCGGACCCGGCCGCUCUGCCUCUCGCCGCCGUACUGCUGCGCUACAGGACAGGUGUGUGCCGCCCGCAUCAGAUCAAGAUAUUCUCAUGAGCGUACUCUGUGGGAUGUUAUAAAUAAACUGCUGAGUUGUUAUGAGCCAGCAUGCAGGAUUGUUCUUUCCAGAGAGGGAGUGGUCUGCAGAGGAAGACAUUCGGCUCGCUGUCAAAACACUUUUUUUUAUCUCAAGUGACAUUUCCACAUAAUUGCCGAUGAAGUUUUCUUUUUCUGACACAACCAGCAGAAUUGUCUCAUUAUAUAUAUAUAUAUAUAUAUAUAUAAUGAUUAUACUCUCAUUGCAUUUUGACUGAUCUUUGGAUACUCAGUAUUUACAGUGAGGUGUGUGUUUGCAGACCCAGAACGUUCCCAUCCACACGUCAGCAAGUAGUGCUACGUCUUAUACCGCGCUAACACUUGUGUCCAGGAGUUCAUCUACCUUACUGCACAGGCAGUUUAGAACACACUACUUGUGUGCAGUGUAAACGGGUUGAGUACUGUGAACAGUAAACAGAGAGACAUAACAUUUCUGCUGGUUUUUAAAACAUAGACCAGUAAGCAGGCGGCGUGGAUUCCUGGCUGCUGCUUCCCACUACUGCUCAGUGCCGCAGGGUCUCCAAGCAAAAUCAAACUCAAAAUUCAACGACGGAAAGUCCUCUUGCAUUCUGCCCGACUAAUUGAUAAGAUCCGCGUUCCGUGAGACUACCCUAUGUGGUCGUUCCCCAUUGGACACCAGGACACGCUGCCUGGGCAAUGUAUGCGAUCUUAUGGGGGCAACUUCCAAAUAAAUGAAUAGAAACCCCUUUUCUUUUUCCAUGCACAUCUGUCUCUGGCUUUAAAGAUAUUUGGCAUGCUAGCAUUACUUUAUCACGAUCAAAGGACUUCCAGUAAUUGGAACUCAAAGCAAUUGGCAACUUGAAUGAGGAUUCACUCGGUAGAGGAAGAACAUUCGAUACAACUGUAUCCAUCCCUGAAAUUGUUUUUUUUUUUUCAGUAAUUGUGUUGUGCAUCUGCCUCCUGCUGCAGAGCUGCUGCUUAAGAUUUGGGUUGUUGGGUUUGAUUCCACCAACCUUACAGCCAGCGUUUGUACUGUAGUGAAAGUGCAGCAUCAGCUGUGUGUGUGUGUGUGUGUGUGUAUGUGCCCCUUUCUGCUGCACUGGGAUGUCCAGGUAACUGGUGCCAUUCAAAGAAACCGUGGAGUUUUUUUAACGUGUGCCGUAUCAUGUGACACAAGGCUAUUUUGUUCGCCGUCAGUUGACUGUGUGUUUUUAUUAGAUGGCACAUUCUGAUUUCAGGGAGCAUUUGUAGACUUAGCAGCUAACUCUGCUGAGCCUGCCUCUCUCACGCUGACCCUCUCCUGCCUCUUUCCCCUGAACGAGUCACUCGGCACGUUCACGGGUGAGAUUGUUAAAUACACUGCGGUGAUUCAUUAAUGUAA